rnacentral:misc_RNA from 1 species
AAGAUCAUGACGCCAAGUUGACAGAUAAACCAAAAAUUUUGCCAAAAAACCUUUAUCUGGACCUAUACAAAAAAAAACCUCACACCAUAUACUGCAUGCCGACCUGCACUAAAUGCGAAUGCGGUACACUCAAAUUGGCAGUUCCCCUUCUGCUAUUCUUUCUCAAGAAAGCAUAAAAAUAAUUUAUGACAAGCUUCUUAAUGAACCAUGAAUUCUUCCUUGCCCUAAUAUCUCCGUGACCAAGAAGAUAGACCACGCCAGAUUCUUUGGCCUUGCGUAUGAAUGAGAGCUCCUUUUCAAGGGAUUGCUCUGCCUCAGACA